ensembl:lncRNA
CUCCACAGAGCUGGGCUGGGCCAGCAGCGAUUCCGCCGCUAUCCCGAAGUAGAAAUAAGGCCAAAUCACCGCAAUUCAGCCAAAAGAAAGAAACCCAAAGGAAUAUAUAUAUAUUUUUAUAUAUAUAUAUAUAUAUAUAUAUCUCAUCCUCUUCAAAAAUAAAAGGAGAGGUCCCGCGGCUGGACGCCGGUGAGUCCCGCGGAGCUGGGAGCCUUUUUCCCCCCAAAUCCAUCGUCGCCGUCGUGGUUUAUGGUUUUUCUCCGUGGCAAAGAACACAGGACCAGGAGGAUGGGUGGAUACAGCAGGAAUUCACCGGAAAGAGCUGCCUGAGGGUACAAAAUACAGUACGGACACAUCGGCCAUCGAGGAAGGACUAUUGCUCCCGUGUGAGUGAGUGAGGGAUCCAGGUCCUUUGCGACGGAGAAGGCUUAAAAACGGGAUAAAUGGAAGAAAUUCGCUUUAAAAAUCCCUUUAAAAAGAGCGACGGCAGCGGCGGGAGCAGCGGGAUGGGGCCAGGGGCCGGAUGGACGGAUGGACAGCGGCGUCCCUGCGGCGCGGGGGGUCCCCCAGGGGUCUGUGGCUGUUCCUCACUUCCCAAUAAAUACGGAGAGAGGGAGAUGCCGGAUCCGUGGUAAUAAAUUAAAGAGACAGCUCACUGGGCUCCCAAAAAUGGAUUAAAAGGGGAAAAAAAAAAAAAAAAAAAAAAAAAAAAGGAAAGUCCUAAAAGUGGUGGAACCGUUGGAGAAGAAGAGGCAAAACCCUGGAAUGAGAGCGAUGGAGUUCAGAGUUAUGGGAAAACAGGGUGAAAAACUGGAAUUCUGGACAGGGCAGGCCUGAGCUGAGGGAGUGAAAAAGAAUUUUAAAAAAAGACUAUUUGAGAGUGGAAAAAUGUGUUUAAUAGGAGGUGGCUGGAGGGACCAGGCGGCACCAGGGCCAGACCCAUGGAGGCAAAAAAAGACAAAAGGAGGCAAAAACUAACAAUAAACCUCCAAAAUCCACCCCCAAGGUGCAGGGGCCGGGCGUGGCCACGGAUUUGGGACCGGAAAAUCCAAAUCGGGUGAAGCCAAGGGGCGGAUUCCGGCGGGUCCUGGUGAAACGGGGCCGGAGGCUCCUUAUUUGGAGAGAAGGGGAAGAUGGUUCGCCCCGUCGAAUUUUUCCUUGUGCUUUGUGCCGGCGCCUCCCCCUUCCCGGCGGGAAACGGGGAGGGGGGGGGAAAAACGGUUAGAAAUCGGCAAAACCGAGGAAAUCUUCCCUAAUUAUCAGGGAGCCGCCAGCUCGGGGCGGGCUCCAGUUCGGGCACCCGGAGUUUUCAUCCCAAAAACAAACAAACAAACAAACAAACAAACAAAAGCCCCCCCAAAACAAAACAAAAAGAAAAAAAAACCGAAAAAACCGUGGAAAGAGGAGAAAAGAAAAAAAAAAAAAAGGGAAAAAUGAAGGAAAAACCACAAGCCGAGGCCCCCCCCCCCCCCCCCCCCCCCCCCCCCCCCCCCCCCCCCCCCCCCCCCCCCCCCCCCCCCCCCCCCCCCCCCCCCCCCCCCCCCCCCCCCCC